rnacentral:rRNA from 1 species
AUUGAACGCUGGCGGUAUGCUUUACACAUGCAAGUCGAACGGCAGCGCGGUCUUCGGUUUCGCUGCGAGUGGCGGACGGGUGAGUAGUGCAUCGGAACGUGCCCAGCAGUGUGGGAUAGCGCGACGAAAGCCGGAUAAAUACCCCAUACGCCCUGAGGGCGUAAGGGGGGGACCGGAAGGCCUUGCGCCCUUGCACGGGCCGAUGACGGAUUAGCUAGUUGGUGGGGUAAAGGCUUACCAAGGCGACGAUCCGUAGCUGGUCUGAGAGGACGACCAGCCACACUGGAACUGAGACACGGCCCAGACUCCUACGGGAGGCAGCAGUGGGGAAUUUUGGACAAUGGGCGCAACCCUGAUCCAGCCAUGCCGCGUGCGGGAAGAAGGCCUUCGGGUUGUAAAGCGCUUUUGUUCGGAAAGAAAAGCUGUGGGCUAAUACCCCGGGGGGAUGACGGUACCGGAAGAAUAAGCACCGGCUAACUACGUG